GGGCCCGUAGCUCAGCCAGGACAGAGCGGCGGGCUUUUAACCCGUAGGCCGCGUGCCUUGGCCAGCGCGGGCGGAAGUCCCGGGUUCGAAUCCCGGCGGGCCCGCCA
rnacentral:tRNA from 1 species